CACCUCCAGAGAAAGUAACAGCUCUCAAUUGAUUAGCUGAGGAAGACACCAGACAAAUGAGUUACACUGUUUUGGACUCCCCAACACAACCCAGCCACCGGCUGAAUGCCACCAAAUUACCUUCUAGUUAAAGGUUUAUGGAGCAAACGAAUCACCUAUUCAAUAUCUGCUUGAAUUUCUGACUCAAAAUACAUCAGAAGCCUCAGGGGCUGGAUCCUGACAUGAACCAGACACCUCCAGAAUUCUAUCCCAAGCAAAAGAUUAUUUCAAGGCCAGAACUCACUCCCUGCUGGAGACUGACUACAAGAUCCACUGAGAUUGAUGUGUAACCUGAUUGGGCCCACAGUGAUGCUAGCCCCUUCACCAGAUGGAACAAUAAUUCCAGACAAGCCAUCAGAGCAGAGAGCAGAGAAGAGGAGAAGCAGCUGGAUGUCAGAGACUGCAGUUUGACGUUGGAGAAAAGCAGCUUGACUUCAGAGGGACAGCUUGACAGCAUGGAUUCAGAGAGGAGAAGAUCACCUUCCUGCUCCGUCCCCUUUCCAGCUCCCUUUCCCACUGAGAGCCACUUACACAGGCAAUAAAAUCCUCUGCAUUCACCACC
rnacentral:lncRNA from 10 species